UUAUCACCCAUUACUUCUAGUGUUGUUCCUUGCUGUUUUUAAGUGUUUUUAAGCUGUUUUUGGAGUGUUUUAGUGUGUUUUGACAUAAAAAUCCAAAAAUCUCAUAAAAAUUUGAAAAAAAAAAUUUGUUUUGAAAAACCCAAAAAGAGUUGUUUUUGUGUGUUUAUUUGUGUCUUAGGGUACCUUCCAACACAAUGAUGAGGAUUUGAUUUUUAAUUACAUGACUGUUAAAGAGAGUUAUAAACAUGGAUGAAAAUUUGAUUUACUCUUUGGUGUAUGCUUGGUUGUGGUUAUAAUUUAUGAAUUCACAUGCAAUCCUAAAGGAAAAAUCAGUUUUUGUAACAUGCUUGAA
rnacentral:lncRNA from 1 species